rnacentral:rRNA from 1 species
UAAAGGAAUUGGCGGGGGAGCACCACAACAGGUGGAGCCUGCGGUUUAAUCGGACUCAACGCCGGGAACCUCACCAGAUAAGACAGCAGAAUGAAAGUCGGGAUGAAGACUCUACUAGACUCGCUGAGAGGAGGUGCAUGGCCGUCGUCAGUUCGUACUGUGAAGCAUCCUGUUUAGUCAGGCAACGAGCGAGACCCACGCCAACAGUUGCCAGCUUUUCCUUUGGGAAGAUGGGGACACUGUUGGGACCGCCUCUGCGAAAGGGGAGGAAGGAUUGGGCAACGGUAGGUCAGCAUGCCCCGAAUUAUCUGGGCAACACGCGGGCUACAAUGGGCAGGACAAUGGGCGUCCUCCACCGAAAGGUGUCGGUAAUCUCCUAGCCCUGUCCGAAGUUCGGAUUGCGGAUUGCAACUCAUCCGCAUGAAGCUGGAAUCUGUAGUAAUCGCGUUUCAUCAUAGCGCGGUGAAUAUGUCCCUGCUCCUUGCACACACCGCCA